UUCAAUUUUGUAACAAAGUUUCUUAAUUUACAAUAAAUUUGCCAAUCUGAUUUUAAUCCUGAUAGCAACGCCAUUUGUUUGGCCAGAUCUCUUUCUUUCAUUUAGCAAGAUGGUAGAUGGAAAAAU